rnacentral:rRNA from 1 species
CGCAUCUGUGCAUGCAGCAUAUCAAUAAGCGGAGGAAAAGAAACUAACAAGGAUUCCCCUAGUAACGGCGAGUGAAGCGGGAAGAGCUCAAAUUUGAAAUCUUAAAGGGUUUCCCUUUACGAAUUGUAGUUUAAGGAAGUGUUUUCUGUUGAGGUUUUGGUAAAAGUUCUUUGGAAUAGGACAUCAUAGAGGGUGAGAAUCCCGUAUUUGACCUUUACUUUCAACUUUGUGAUACACUUUCAAAGAGUCGGAUUGUUUGGGAAUGCAGUCCAAAAUGGGUGGUAAAUUUCAUCUAAAGCUUAAAUAUUGGCGAGAGACCGAUAGCGAACAAGUACCGUGAGGGAAAGAUGAAAAGAACUUUGAAAAGAGAGUUAAACAGUACGUGAAAUUGUCAAAAGGGAAGCGUUUGACACCAGUGUUGUUUUUCUGAAAAUCAAUUAAAGAACUGUUUAUGCUAAGCUUGUUUAGACUUUAUCAGCUAACUGUUUAGUUUUGAGCUUUUCUUUAAUGCACUUUUCAGUUAACAAGUCAACAUCAAUUUCUUUUGCUGUAAAAAAGCUUGAGGAAGGUGGCUUGAGAUUCGUCUCAAGUGUUUAUAGCCUCUUGCCUACGCAGUCGGAGAGAUUGAGGUCUGCAGCGUAGAUCCCUUCGGGGCUAAAUGCAUUUGUGCUAAGUUAUAGCAUUUUAUAGACAACUUGUUGACUAUGAUUUGUCUUGUAGCUUACUCGCUUAUGUUAUUUUACCUACGCUUAGGAUGUUGAACGCGCACAGAGUCUC